rnacentral:rRNA from 1 species
GUUGAACGCUGGCGGCAUGCCUUACACAUGCAAGUCGAACGGCAGCACGGGAGCUUGCUCCUGGUGGCGAGUGGCGAACGGGUGAGUAAUACAUCGGAACGUACCCUGAAGUGGGGGAUAACGUAGCGAAAGUUACGCUAAUACCGCAUAUUCUGUGAGCAGGAAAGAGGGGGAUCGCAAGACCUCUUGCUUUAGGAGCGGCCGAUGUCGGAUUAGCUAGUUGGUGAGGUAAAGGCUCACCAAGGCGACGAUCCGUAGCGGGUCUGAGAGGAUGAUCCGCCACACUGGGACUGAGACACGGCCCAGACCU